UUGUGAACUUAUACCUUACUGUUGCCUCGGCGCUAGCUGGUCCUCCGGGGCCCCUCACCCUCGGGUGUUGAGACAGCCCGCCGGCGGCCAACCCAACUCUUGUUUUUACACUGAAACUCUGAGCACAAAACAUAAAUGAAUCAAAACUUUCAACAACGGAUCUCUUGGUUCUGGCAUCGAUGAAGAACGCAGCGAAAUGCGAUAAGUAAUGUGAAUUGCAGAAUUCAGUGAAUCAUCGAAUCUUUGAACGCACAUUGCGCCCUCUGGUAUUCCGGAGGGCAUGCCUGUUCGAGCGUCAUUUCAACCCUCAAGCCUGGCUUGGUGAUGGGGCACUGCUUUUACCCAAAAGCAGGCCCUGAAAUUCAGUGGCGAGCUCGCCAGGACCCCGAGCGCAGUAGUUAAACCCUCGCUCUGGAAGGCCCUGGCGGUGCCCUGCCGUUAAACCCCCAACUUCUGAAAAUUUGACCUCGGAUCAGGUAGGAAUACCCGCUGAACUUAAGCAUAU
rnacentral:rRNA from 1 species